ACAUGCCUUCGAUCACUUUUCCCCUCAGCUGUUUUUUGUUUGUGAUUAAGAUAAUUUAAGUUUGAGCCACCAUUCUUUGUCGGGACCGGCUGAUUACUCCACAUGGACACAGAACUUGGGAUUCAUCCUCUAGAUUCUUCUCCUCGAUUCCAGUUUCUAACGAGGACAACGUUUGUGAGCCGUUAUCAGUGACCUCACUCUUGGGGUCCGAUCUACCAAAGAUUUGCUUCUGUUUGAAGGUGAGCCAAGACCACACUCGACGUUCUUACUCCAGGCGGAGCAAGAACUGUUUUUACUUCAGAGGGAAAAAACCCACAACUUUCUCACAUCUGUCUUUCCUCCUUCCUUACUUGCCCACUGUGCUUUGCUUUCACAUAACCUUGAAUUCAGCGUCCUGCACACUUGACGACAACACAUCCAUGCACUCUUGACCUUAUCACCGGAAAUGAGGAAUGAGAACACCUGUGCCGGUCAUUUCCACAAUGGAAGUACAAACACACCUGGAAUUCUGGCUGACAGCUAUACUUUCACACUUAUUAUAUAAGAGGCUACCGUAGUUCCAUGUGCGGUCUGCACACACACACACACACACACACACACACACACACACGGUCAGCACUUUCUGUUGACUCUUGCCCACAGUCCCGUUUGUGUGUGUGGGUUCUUGAGGGAAAGACUGAGUUUGCUUGUCACACUGAGGUGGCAGCAUCCAAACGUAUGAGCUAAUAGACAUCUUGGAUGGACACACGGAGGGGUGAUGGGUGAAUGUGGUAUGACGACAGUGGAGGUAACAAUAAAUGGUA